UUCUAACUGAGGAACCUGAGCAGAUGCCUUGACCCAGACCAGAGACCCAAGCCAAGGAAAGCCCAUGAUCACCAGAGUAGGUUGGGAAGUGCGGAUAGAGGGGAAGUAGUUUUUAUUUUUUUCUAACAGAGAAGUUGUGCAAGGUGUUCUGAGAGUUGGGAGCAGAGUGUGAUGCCAGGAGAGGGCAGAGCUGGCAGAUGGAAGCCAAAGGUGUGCGGGUCACCCCUUCUGGGUGGGGACAUCUGAUCGACCUAGUCCAUGUAUGCCUGCAUGAAGUGCUGCAGGUAAUGGGGAUAUGAAGGAAGAAUCAGCUGCACAAUUAGGUUGUUGUCAUAGGCCCAUGGCCCUGGGAGGUACAGGGGGCUCCCUGUCCCCCAGCCUGGACUUCCAGCUCUUCCGAGGUGACCAGAGCACGAGCCACCAGGGCUGCAGGCCAGCUCCACCGAUGACAAGAAAUUCACAGUCAAGUACCCACAGAACAAGGACAAGCUGGGAAAACAGCCAGAAAGAGCUGGCGAGGGGGCCCCCUGCCCAGCCUUCUCCUCUCAUAACAGCUCUUCCCCACCACCGCUGCAGAACAGAAAGAGCCCCAGCCCCUUGGCUUUCUGCCCCUGUCCCCCUGUCAACUCCAUCUCCAAGGAGCUCCCAUUUCUCCUCCACGC
rnacentral:lncRNA from 1 species